rnacentral:rRNA from 1 species
GACGAACGCUGGCGGCGUGCUUAACACAUGCAAGUCGAACGGUAAGGCUCCAGCUUGCUGGGGUACACGAGUGGCGAACGGGUGAGUAACACGUGGGUGACCUGCCCUGCACUUCGGGAUAAGCCUGGGAAACUGGGUCUAAUACCGGAUAGGACCGCACCGUGAGGGUGUGGUGGAAAGUUUUUUCGGUGUGGGAUGGGCCCGCGGCCUAUCAGCUUGUUGGUGGGGUAAUGGCCUACCAAGGCGGCGACGGGUAGCCGGCCUGAGAGGGUGGACGGCCACAUUGGGACUGAGACACGGCCCAGACUCCUACGGGAGGCAGCAGUGGGGAAUAUUGCACAAUGGGCGGAAGCCUGAUGCAGCGACGCCGCGUGGGGGAUGACGGCCUUCGGGUUGUAAACUCCUUUCACCAUCGACGAAGGGUUUCUGACGGUAGAUGGAGAAGAAGCACCGGCUAACUACGUGCCAGCAGCCGCGGUAAUACGUAGGGUGCGAGCGUUGUCCGGAAUUACUGGGCGUAAAGAGCUCGUAGGUGGUUUGUCGCGUCGUCUGUGAAAUUCCGGGGCUUAACUCCGGGCGUGCAGGCGAUACGGGCAUAACUUGAGUACUGUAGGGGAGACUGGAAUUCCUGGUGUAGCGGUGAAAUGCGCAGAUAUCAGGAGGAACACCGGUGGCGAAGGCGGGUCUCUGGGCAGUAACUGACGCUGAGGAGCGAAAGCAUGGGGAGCGAACAGGAUUAGAUACCCUGGUAGUCCAUGCCGUAAACGGUGGGCGCUAGGUGUGGGUUUCCUUCCACGGGAUCCGUGCCGUAGCUAACGCAUUAAGCGCCCCGCCUGGGGAGUACGGCCGCAAGGCUAAAACUCAAAGGAAUUGACGGGGGCCCGCACAAGCGGCGGAGCAUGUGGAUUAAUUCGAUGCAACGCGAAGAACCUUACCUGGGCUUGACAUAUACAGGAUCGCGCCAGAGAUGGUGUUUCCCUUGUGGCUUGUAUACAGGUGGUGCAUGGUUGUCGUCAGCUCGUGUCGUGAGAUGUUGGGUUAAGUCCCGCAACGAGCGCAACCCUUGUCUUAUGUUGCCAGCACGUUGUGGUGGGGACUCGUAAGAAACUGCCGGGGUUAACUCGGAGGAAGGUGGGGAUGACGUCAAAUCAUCAUGCCCCUUAUGUCCAGGGCUUCACACAUGCUACAAUGGUCGGUACAGUGGGUUGCCAGUCCGUGAGGGCGAGCUAAUCCCGCAAAGCCGGUCUCAGUUCGGAUCGGGGUCUGCAACUCGACCCCGUGAAGUCGGAGUCGCUAGUAAUCGCAGAUCAGCAACGCUGCGGUGAAUACGAACCCGGGCCU